UCCCUUUAGAUUUGGAUGCUGGGGUGUGGAACUUUGGAGUCUCUGAGGAGAAGUCACCUGCGGGGCCCAGGACCCGGUGAAAUUUCAGUCCACCAACCUGUCAUGCUGAGCUCGGCCCAGCACCCUUGAUUCCGGCAACCAGGGGACCUGUGUGGAGUCAGCCGACCCAUCUGAAGUAGAGGGACGUUCACGCGGAGCCCUUUAAAGGUGACGUGACUGAGUUUUUAAGACUGGGGUUGGUGGUGCGAAGCUGGGUGACUGGGAUGGGACAAGGGCUUCCGUCAACUUCCCAAACCCACCAGAGCCCUUCACCCCCUUCUACCCGGGCCAGCACGUUCUUCACAGGGGCCACCGGCUGCGGAAGGAGCCCGCGGCUGCUCGCACCCCCUCUCCCCAGAGCGCCCGCAGGUACGGAGGCCCAGCCUUCGGGUCAGAGAAAGCACCAGUGAUGAAGAGUCGCUUAGAAACAUAAGAAAGGAGGGAGAGAAAUCAUCGGCCAAAUGAUUAGACUGGAAGGUGAAGUAAUUCCUCUUCAUGCUGGAAGAAGAUGCCAGGGUUAGGCCAGUGACUCACGGAACUGUGGCCUCUUCAGUGUGGCAGGGUGACAGGAGGGCCACUUCUCAGAGCAUCGGGCUCACAGAUGCCACCGAGGAGCGCACGGUGGCCAGUGCGUCCAACCUGCCCAUCCACGCCCGCAGCUCUGCUUCUGGAGGCUUCUUCCUUCCUCACUUUAAAGUUCUAAUACCUGUGUUUCAUCCAAAACCUGA